AACUUUCAACAAUGUGUCACUUGGCUCUCGCAUCGAUUAAGAACGCAGCGAAAUGCGUUAAGUAAUGUGAAUUGCAGAAUUCAGUGAAUCAUCGAAUCUUUGAACGCACCUUGUGCUCCUUGGUGUUCCGAGGAGCAUGCCUGUUUGAGUGUCAUUAAAUUCUCAACCUUUCCAUUGAUUUGGUUUGGCUUGGAUGUGGGGGUUGCAGGUUUCAUUUGACUAUGAGGUCAGCUCUCCUUAAAUGCAUUAGUGGAACUUUUGUUGACCAUCUAUUGGUGUGAUAUCUAUCUACACUGUGGAUGUGAAGCAGUGAUGUUCAGCUUCUAACCGUCUAUUAUUGACUUUUACUUGACCAUUUGACCUCAAAUCAGGUAGGACUACCCGCUGAACUUAAGCAUAUCAAUAAGCGGAGGCU
rnacentral:misc_RNA from 1 species